AUACGGAGGAUGCGAGCGUUAUCCGGAUUUAUUGGGUUUAAAGGGUGCGUAGGUGGUAGAUUAAGUCAGCGGUGAAAGUUUGUCGCUCAACGAUAAAAUUGCCGUUGAUACUGGUUUACUUGAGUAUAGUUGAAGUAGGCGGAAUGUGUGGUGUAGCGGUGAAAUGCAUAGAUAUCACGCAGAACUCCGAUUGCGAAGGCAGCUUACUAAGUUAUAACUGACACUGAAGCACGAAAGCGUGGGUAUCAAACAGGAUUAGAUACCCUGGUAGUCCACGCAGUAAACGAUGAUUACUCGCUGUUUGCGAUAUACAGUAAGCGGCCAAGCGAAAGCAUUAAGUAUUCCACCUGGGGAGUACGCCGGCAACGGUGAAACUCAAAGGAAUUGACGGGG
rnacentral:rRNA from 1 species